rnacentral:rRNA from 1 species
AUACGUAGGUGACAAGCGUUAUCCGGAUUUACUGGGCGUAAAGGGCGUGUAGGCGGUCUUGCAAGUCAGAAGUGAAAUUCCUGAGCUCAACUCGGGCGCUGCUUCUGAAACUGCAGGACUUGAGUGCUGGAGGGGAUAGCGGAAUUCCUAGUGGAGCGGUAAAAUGCGCAGAUAUUAGGAAGAACACCGGUGGCGAAGGCGGCUAGCUGGACAGUAAGUGACGCUGAGGCGCGAAAGCGUGGGGAGAAAACAGGAUUAGAUACCCGGGUUGUCCACGCCGUAAACGAUGAAUACUAGGUGUAGGGGGUAUCGACUCCCUCUGUGCCGCAGUUAACACAAUAAGUAUUCCGCCUGGGGAGUACGGCCGCAAGGUUGAAACUCAAAUGAAUUGACGGG